UACGAAGGGGGCUAGCGUUGCUCGGAAUCACUGGGCGUAAAGCGCACGUAGGCGGAUUGCUAAGUCAGGGGUGAAAUCCUGGAGCUCAACUCCAGAACUGCCUUUGAUACUGGCAACCUUGAGUCCGGGAGAGGUGAGUGGAACUGCGAGUGUAGAGGUGAAAUUCGUAGAUAUUAGGAAGAACACCAGUGGCGAAGGCGGCUCACUGGCUCGGUACUGACGCUGAGGCGCGAAAGCGUGGGGAGCAAACAGG
rnacentral:rRNA from 1 species